rnacentral:lncRNA from 1 species
CAGGAAGGGUGCCGCCAUCUGGGAGCACUGCAGCAAUGUGCUCUGCCAAAGCACUGCUGGAGCGUCUUGGCACGGAGCAGUCGUGACUCUUGGACCAAUGAGACACGUCCAAUUCAGGUUCAGGCACAUUUCAAAAUACCAGUUCGGGCGCGGGUUCCGGUUCAGGUGCGGCUUUCAGUUCGACACCCACAUGUGAACGCAUAAGCCUGGUAUACAGUACAGUACAGAAUCAUCGUAAGCAAUGUGUCAUGUGGCAGCUCCAAGUUGGCCAUUACAUCUCAAAUUGUUGAA